CUACGGGCUGCAGCAGUGGGGAAUAUUGCACAAUGGAGGAAACUCUGAUGCAGCGACGCCGCGUGAGUGAAGAAGUAUUUCGGUAUGUAAAGCUCUAUCAGCAGGGAAGAUAGUGACGGUACCUGACUAAGAAGCACCGGCUAAAUACGUGCCAGCAGCCGCGGUAAUACGUAUGGUGCAAGCGUUAUCCGGAUUUACUGGGUGUAAAGGGAGUGUAGGUGGUCUGACAAGUCAGAGGUGAAAGCCCGGGGCUCAACCCCGGGACUGCCUUUGAAACUGUCAGACUAGAGUGCAGGAGAGGUAAGUGGAAUUCCUAGUGUAGCGGUGAAAUGCGUAGAUAUUAGGAGGAACACCAGUGGCGAAGGCGGCUUACUGGACUGUAACUGACACUGAGGCUCGAAAGCGUGGGGAGCAAACAGGAUUAGAUACCCUAGUAGUC
rnacentral:rRNA from 1 species